AUGGUUGAUGCAGAUAAGGAAAAAUAAGUUAAUAUACCAAGACAAGCCUAGACUCAAAACAGCCCUGGAAAUGCUCAGAACUAGCAUAAGCCUUGAACGUCGUUAAAAUGAGGUGACACUCCCCUUCUUUGUGUUGCACGGGGAAGCAGAUAUAGUAACAGAUCCUGAAGUAAGCAAGGCCUUUAAUGAGAAAUCAAGCAGCAGUGACAAAACCAUAAAACUGUAUCCAGGGAUGUGGCAUGGCUUGACAUCGGGUGAGCCCGAUGAAAGCAUCGAGAUCGUUUUCACAGAUAUCACAGCUUGGCUUGACAAACAACUCUUAUAAACUUUAAGCAAUAAAGGGUUCGGAAAACUCACUAAUACGAGCAUUGAAACCUGGUUGCAGAACCCAAUGGAAUGGGUUCGUAGACAUCACUAACCCACUUAUCCUGAUAGUAACAUAUUAGCUACUGUCUCUGUAUAUUUUCUCUACAUUAAUAGAAUUAAAAGAUAUGAAAUUGCUUCAAUACUGCAAUGUUUGAGGAUCUGAUUAAUUUGUUUCAUUGAAAAUGAUUUGUUGUUGUUUUUAUUAGGAGGAGACAUUGAAGUUAAGAUAGAUUUAUGAUGUUUGCCUUUGUGUUUCACUGCCCAUGAAGUUGAUGGGUUCAAUAAAAAGACAUUUUGCCAACAAUUUUAAGUUGGUUGGGAA